AGCGCUGACCCACCUUAAGGAUA
rnacentral:siRNA from 1 species